rnacentral:rRNA from 1 species
GCUUAACACAUGCAAGUCGAGCGCCCCGCAAGGGGAGCGGCAGACGGGUGAGUAACGCGUGGGAACAUACCCUCCGGUUCGGAAUAGCUCAGGGAAACUUGGAUUAAUACCGGAUACGGCCUAGCGGCGAAAGAUUCAUCGCCGGAGGAUUGGCCCGCGUUCGAUUAGCUAGUUGGUGAGGUAACGGCUCACCAAGGCGAACGAAUCGAUAGCCUGGUCUGAGAGGAUGAUCAGCCACAUUGGGACUGAGACACGGCCCAAACUCCUACGGGAGGCAGCAGUGGGGAAUAUUGGACAAUGGGCGCAAGCCUGAUCCAGCCAUGCCGCGUGAGUGAUGACGGCCUUAGGGUUGUAAAGCUCUUUCGCUAGGGACGAUAAUGACGGUACCUAGAACAAGAAGCCCCGGCUAACUUCGUGCCAGCAGCCGCGGUAAU